GGUCCCCCGGCUGGGUGCAUGCCUGGCCCCUGGCCCCUCAGGGUGGACUUCCACUGAGUGCCAGGCUCAGAUCCAGGCACCUUUGAUGGCUCCCCAUGGCUGUUGGAUCACUUUUUGGCCCAGCUGGGCAAUUACAUGUCCUUUUGCUUUGAGCACUAUCAGGACAACCUCAACCACGUCUGUGAGGUCCUUGGACGCCUGACAGGCCGAGCCUGGGCAUGGGCACCUCCCUACCUCGAUGGGGACCUGCCCCUGCCUGAUGAUUACAAGCUCUUCUGCCAGGAUCUUAAGGAAGUUACUCAAGAUCCAAACAGUUUUGCUGAGUACCAUGCUGCAGUGCCCUACGCCUUGCCCCCAGCCUCCAGCCAGCCACCAGUGGACCUGCAGCUGCCUGUGGUGAGGCAAUGCUUAGCUCAGUUCUCAGAGGCUCUGGCUCUCAACAUGGGCCCUGCCUCAGGCCUGUUGCAGCUGUUCUGGCCAGCCCUGCUGUUUCUAGGUCAAACUCUACAUCCAGAAAUGCUCUGCCCAAGUAUCAGCUGGCCAAGGAGAGCACCCCUACACCAGAGGGGGCCCCUGCCCUGUCCAGUUCUGCGUGUACCUCUGAUCCUGGUCCAGUGGGGCCAGCCACCUCCUGUGCUUGCACUUUCAGAAUCUGCUAACUUGGCUUCCAAGAAACUGGAACCAGCUCGCCGGGGGUCCAGAAUCCCAGAAAGCAGAGGAGGAGGUUUCUGAGACAGAGAGAGACCAGGAGGUGUCCUUGGCUACCCCACAGAGGGUGGUGGACACCCUGGGGACCCCAGGAGACCAAUAGGUUUCUCCUGUUCCCUACCCUGCAUCCCUGGGUUCUGAACACAGCCCAGGCAGGUACAGCUGCGCCCCUCAUGAUGAAGUGGUCUGUGUAGCUAGGGAGCCCCAACGCCCCCAUUCAGGACAGAGGAGCAUCCCCAGUAACUCCAGAUGACCCCACAGCUGGCAAGGAGACUUCGGGUCUACUUGUAAGAGCAGCCUUGUGGUAAGAGGGAAGGGUCUGCUGUGGACAUCAAGAGCCCGUGAUGAGUAGAGCCCCCCUGCCAACUGCAAUGGACCUGUAACAUGAGCAAGAAAUACAUUUUUAAUGUGUGAGGCCACUGAGUUUUGGGGGCUUGUGUUUUCCACAGUUUAACCUAUUACAUCCUGACUGGCAGGGGAUCCCAUUUCACCUCUUUUCAUAGGGCACGUCCCUGCCCCAGCAUCGGCUCCUGGGUGCUGUCCUGGCCACCGCGACCCACGGAGCUGUCCCUAUUGUGCCCACCUGGCACUCUGGUCUGAUCUAUCUUCUAGUUAUUCUAGAUUUGUAAUAAAAUCUUGAUUUUCUGGUAAA